rnacentral:tRNA from 1 species
GGCUCCAUAGCUCAAUUGAAUUAGAGCACUUGACUACGGAUCAAGAGGUUGGGGGUUUGAAUCCCUCUGGGGUCAC